ensembl:lncRNA
CUGUAGAGAGGAGAACCCAUUCUGUGUUAAUGGGACUGGAUUUUAUGCCUGCCUGCAGAGCACCCAUACUCUGUGCUGGUGCCAGCCCUCGGGUAGCUCUGGGGUGUGGAUGCCUGCAUUGGUGCCCUGGGGGCUGUGCAAAUGGAGUACCCUACUGGACUGCCCCCCCAAGAGCUGAGUCUGCUGCUGCUCCAGAUGCAGAGAAGAUCACGGACAUGAGAAUAGAAGGGAAGAAUGAGAGCAAAGCAGCCGAGAAGCUGCAGCAAUGACUCUUCGUUUCUUGUGGACAAGGGUAGGACAGGAGCUCAGCCCGCCCCAAGCAGUGGUGAGCAGCCAGCCCUGCGAUGAUAGACCCACAAUGGAAGGGACCCACAGCGGUCAUCGAGUCUGACUCCCGGCCCCACACAGUACAGCCUAAAACCACGCUGCUUUCCAUCUCACGUGGGGCACAGCAGUGCCUCCUUGCCUACAUCUCCACCUCUGCUCGCUGCCCUGUGCUGCAUCUCCUCUUGGCAGCAGGUCAAGAAAGCCAUGAGAACAAGGCACCAGGAGCAGAAGGGCUGAAUGUGAUGGUGAAGACCCAUCUCUGGUUUCUGGCUCUAUCUGAAAAGAAGAGAUUCACAUUUCACUCUCUCAUCCUAGAAACAAACCUUGCAUCCCGGAAGGAAAAUGAAUGCCAUUGGGAUUCAUACAUAACCAGUGAAGCUAUGAAAGCUCAACACGGAGCCGAGGCAAAGGAUUGCUGCAGGCUGUGGUUUGGUGCCAUGGAUGGCACAGAGGCUGGGUGAGGGGCAGUCUCAGAGCACCUUCAAUCUCCUCCUGCAGAUGAGCAGAACACUCCAGAUAGCACUGUGGGAUGAAGGGCUUUGCUGCCCACUGCUCCAAGGUGCCCGACCAGCUGCUGGGACAGCCAGGAAGAGAGCCUGCAAGGUGGCCAUUGCUGUGCAGUAGAAGAUUGUCAACCAUUGUUACUGUGGAAACCUUUGAAAAUAUGCUCCAUGAUAAAUUGGAUCUAGUGGCACCAAGGAAUCCCGAGCCUUCACGUGAUGUCUGCAGUUUGGACAGGAAAGGAAGUGAGAUAUAACACCUGCAAGGUGCUGUGACGCUCAGCAGUGGUUGUCAGUGCUGUUAGAAAUGUGCCAUGAAGCUCAAGCAAAGGGCAAGGAGUGAACAGCAAGCUUAUUCUGAUGGAUGGAGGAAAUUUGAAUCUGAACUUCAAAUGAAUGCUCCUUGCGUCCCUGCUUCCUCCUGGACUCAUGCAGAGAAGCCACUCCCUUGUCCCUUUUGAGGGUCGCAAAUAGCACCCACAGCCCAGCCAUCUUUAGCAUCAAAUGGUAGGGACAGACUUUAAGGAAGCAGUGGGUGUUUGCAAGAGCUGAUGGCCUCAUCCCAAAAUCUCUGCGGAGCUGAUGCACAGGUUUCUCGGCCAGCAGCUCCAGCAGGCAGAACCAUGGGCUCCAUCUGUCUCGGGAACAGCUCGGAGGAAUGGGUUUGGAGCUACAAAUGGGUCUCAGGGACAACUCUUGGAACCAGAAUUGGAUACGGAGCUUAUUUUCCUUCAGCGCUUCAGAGUGAAAAGGUCUUUCGUGGGAUGUGAGCUCUGAAUUCCUCCUGGGGAUGAGGGAGUGCAGGUGGGAGCCGCUCUGCCCCGGUGGGACGUCACAAAGCUGCAGUGACUCACAGCAGCCCCAGUGCAGUGUUUGGACUCCCUGCAGUCACCUUGAAAACUUCUACUGACAUUGUGUGAAGGAACGGGUAAUAAAUGGCUCCUUAAUAGCAUGGAAAGUCAGAAGAGGGGAAUCUGAAAUCAGUUUGGAGGAAAAAGAGAGAAGCUCAUUUUUACUGCAGAAG